rnacentral:rRNA from 1 species
GACGAACGCUGGCGGCGUGCUUAACACAUGCAAGUCGAACGGUAAGGCCCUUCGGGGUACACGAGUGGCGAACGGGUGAGUAACACGUGGGUGAUCUGCCCUGCACUCCGGGAUAAGCCUGGGAAACUGGGUCUAAUACCGGAUAGGACUCCUGGCUUCAUGGUUGGGGGUGGAAAGCUUUUGCGGUGUGGGAUGGGCCCGCGGCCUAUCAGCUUGUUGGUGGGGUAAUGGCCUACCAAGGGGACGACGGGUAGCCGGCCUGAGAGGGUGACCGGUCACACUGGGACUGAGAUACGGCCCAGACUGCUACGGGAGGCAGCAGUGGGGAAUAUUGCACAAUGGGCGCAAGCCUGAUGCAGCGACGCCGCGUGAGGGAUGACGGCCUUCGGGUUGUAAACCUCUUUCAGCUAUGACGAAGCGCAAGUGACGGUAGUAGCAGAAGAAGGACCGGCCAACUACGUGCCAGCCGCCGCCGUAA